UACGUAGGGCGCAAGCGUUGUCCGGAAUUAUUGGGCGUAAAGAGCUCGUAGGUGGCGUGUCGCGUCUGCCGUGAAAGCCCAUGGCUUAACUGUGGGUCUGCGGUGGAUACGGGCAGGCUGGAGGCAGGUAGGGGAGAACGGAAUUCCCGGUGUAGCGGUGAAAUGCGCAGAUAUCGGGAGGAACACCAGAGGCGAAGGCGGCGACCUGGACAGAUACUGACACUGAACUACGAAAGCGUGGGGAGCAAACAGG
rnacentral:rRNA from 1 species